UUAAAGCUAUCUAUGAAAACGUGAUUAGUCGAAAUUCAAAUAACCGACGAAACAAAUGUUAGAAAAUUAAAUAGUCUUGGGAUCAAUCAUUUCUGACUUAUCCGUUCGAUGUACGGAACGCCAAAUUACCCCCUAAAAAUUCAGCACCUCGGCUAGGGCCAUUUAUUUUUUUUUGCAGAAAAUAAUCACCAUCCACCCACGCCAUCUAGCGGCCACGGUACGCACCUUUUUGAAAUCCCCACUGGAGGAGGAGCUGAAUCACUAUCGAUCUCUACAACCAUUUCCAACAAUUAAUAUCGAUUUUAUCGUGCCAGAGCAGAUACAGGUGAAUAUCUCUGUGAUAAUAAAUUUGUUUUUGUUUUCUAAACGUUCAUCAAUUACUGGUUUUCAAUACUGUUUAUCUCGCUUGUUGCAAUAACAUACCAGUUUAUCUCGCGUUGAAAUGGAUGACGCUGUCUGGAGUGUUGCGUUAAUCUGGUCGAUUAAAACCACAUUAAGUGUCCUCAGUGUCGCAGAUUCACUCCGGUUAGUGCCGGGCCAAUCUCUGUGAAUGAUGAUCUCCAAACCGAUCACGAUUUGAUGGCCCUACUUCUCCAAACAAAAACAAAUUUAUUAUCACAGAGACAUUCACCUGUAUCUGCCACGGGCACGAUAAAAUCGAUAUUAAUUGUUGGAAAUGGUUAUAGGAAUCGAUAGUGAUUUAUCUCCUCCUCCAGCGGGUGGGAUUUCAAAACGGUGCAUACCGUGACUGCUAGAUGGCGUUGGUGGAUGAUGAUUAUUUUCUGCGAAAAAAAAUAAAUGGCCCUAGCCGAGGUGCUGAAUUUUUAGGGGGUAAUUUGGCGUUCCGUAUCGAUGUGCCGACAAGGAAAAUUUGCAUCACUAGAACAACAAUUUUGCAAAAAAGACGAUUUCGAAAGAAACUAAGAUAAACGUCAGCAGGAAUAGACAUAACCCAGUAACGUAAAGUAAUUUUUUUAAUUGAAUGCAGUUAAAAA